UCAAAAAUCCGAAAAAACGGCGUCAGUAAAAUCUCAGGGAAAAAUCAAUCGAUUUUCGUGAUUCUUUUUUUUCUUGUGUAAGGAAUAGAUGGAAGUAUAAGAUAGGGUGAGGGUACAAAGAAGUUCGAUGCUCCUCACGUCACGGUGUCGGCACUGGCCCAAAGUCAAAAAAUAUUUCGAAAAUACGAAAAACGUCCCCAUUUGUCAGUCAGAUUUUUAGCAGGUCAUGUUUAGUGUCAAUCGAAAGGUAAUUUCAGUAACUUUUAAACGAACCACAUUUU